UACGGAGGGUGCGAGCGUUGUCCGGAAUCACUGGGCGUAAAGGGCGCGUAGGCGGCCUGAUAAGUAGGGGGUGAAAUCCUGCGGCUUAACCGCAGGGCUGCCUUCUAAACUGUCAGGCUGGAGCACAGUAGGGGCAGGUGGAAUUCCCGGUGUAGCGGUGGAAUGCGUAGAGAUCGGGAAGAACAUCAGUGGCGAAGGCGGCCUGCUGGGCUGUUGCUGACGCUGAGGCGCGACAGCGUGGGGAGCAAACAGG
rnacentral:rRNA from 1 species